GAUGAACGCUGACAGAAUGCUUAACACAUGCAAGUCUACUUGAUCCUUCGGGUGAUGGUGGCGGACGGGUGAGUAACGCGUAAAGAACUUGCCCUGCAGUCUAGGACAACAUUUGGAAACGAAUGCUAAUACCGGAUAUUAUGUGAGUUUCGCAUGAAAUUCAUAUGAAAGCUAUAUGCGCUGCAGGAGAGCUUUGCGUCCUAUUAGCUAGUUGGUGAGGUAACGGCUCACCAAGGCGAUGAUAGGUAGCCGGCCUGAGAGGGUGAACGGCCACAAGGGGACUGAGACACGGCCCUUACUCCUACGGGAGGCAGCAGUGGGGAAUAUUGGACAAUGGACCAAAAGUCUGAUCCAGCAAUUCUGUGUGCACGAUGAAGUUUUUCGGAAUGUAAAGUGCUUUCAGUUGGGACGAAGUAAGUGACGGUACCAACAGAAGAAGCGACGGCUAAAUACGUGCCAGCAGCCGCGGUAAUACGUAUGUCGCAAGCGUUAUCCGGAUUUAUUGGGCGUAAAGCGCGUCUAGGCGGUUUGGUAAGUCUGAUGUGAAAAUGCGGGGCUCAACCCCGUAUUGCGUUGGAAACUGCCAAACUAGAGUACUGGAGGGGUGGGCGGAACUACAAGUGUAGAGGUGAAAUUCGUAGAUAUUUGUAGGAAUGCCGAUGGAGAAGUCAGCCCACUGGACAGAUACUGACGCUGAAGCGCGAAAGCGUGGGUAGCAAACAGGGUUAGAUACCCUGGUAGUC
rnacentral:rRNA from 1 species